rnacentral:lncRNA from 1 species
UGGUGAGCUAAAAGUUUUGCUAUUAUCAACAAAUAGCCAUGUACCCCCACCCAGCUUAAGAAGUAGAAUGUUACUGAUAGAACUGGAGAUUCAUUUAUGUCCCUUCCCAAAUGCAUGUACUUAACUAUUUAAAUAUCUAGAAAUUAUUUCAGUUAUGGAGUGAGGUAAGGAUCCAGUAAAUAAUUUUUACCCCAAAUGGAUAACCCAUUUUCUCAGCAUAAUUUGAUUAAUCAUUUAUCAUUUUCCCACUGAUUUGGAGAUCAUUAUUUUAGUGUACUAAUUACCUAUGUGUACUUUUAUUUGUUUUGGGGUUUCUAUUCUGCUCCAUUGCAUUAUGUCCAUUCUGCCAUCAGGUACGUACUGUUUUAAUUAGUCUCACUUCAUGGUAUGUUCUGAUGCUUCCAGUACAAAUUCCCCUAUAUUAUUGGGUAGACACUCUCUCAGAUGGCCUCAUAUGAUCCCUGACUCUUGGUAUUCAUGUUCUUGGGUAAUCUUCCCUUAAGUGUGGGCUGGAUUUGGUGACUCUCUAGUGAAUAAAGUGUGGUAAAGAUGAUGGUAUGUCACUCCUGAGAUUAAGUUACAAAAAAGACUACGGCUUCUAUCUUGGUUAUUCUUUCUUAUUUUCUCACUUGCUUUGAGGGAAUCCAGCUGCCUUGUGAGCUGCUUUGUAGAGAAGUCCAUGUGGCAAGGAGCUAAGUAAGGGAGGCAUCGUGACAACAGCCAGUGAGGAACUGAGGCACUCAGUCUAACAGCUUGGGAGGAAUUGAAUCCUUCCAACAACCUGCAUGUGAGCUUGAGCUUGGAAAUGGACCUUACCUCAGGUGAACUUUUAGGUGAGACAACAGUCCUAAGCCAAUACUUUGAUUGCAGCCUUGUGAGAGAACUUGAGCUAGAGGUACCAAGCUAAACCAUGCUUGUAUUUCUGAUUCACGGAAACUGA